rnacentral:rRNA from 1 species
AUUGAACGCUGGCGGCAUGCCUUACACAUGCAAGUCGAACGGCAGCACGGGGGCAACCCUGGUGGCGAGUGGCGAACGGGUGAGUAACAUAUCGGAACAUACCCUAGAGUGGGGGAUAACGUAGCGAAAGUUACGCUAAUACCGCAUACGAUCUAAGGAUGAAAGUGGGGGGAUCUUCGGACCUCAUGCUCAUGGAGUGGCCGAUAUCUGAUUAGCUAGUUGGUGAGGUAAAGGCUCACCAAGGCGACGAUCAGUAGCUGGUUUGAGAGAACGACCAGCCACACUGGAACUGAGACACGGUCCAGACUCCUACGGAGGCAGCAGUGGGGAAUUUUUGGGACAAUGGGGGCAACCCUGAUCCAGCAAUGCCGCGUGAGCGAAGAAGCCCUUUGGGGGUGUAAAAGCUCUGUCAGCUGGAACGAAUAAAUGACGGUACCAGCAGAGGGAAGCAAUCGGCUAACUACGUGCCAGCAGCCGCGGUAA